ensembl:lncRNA
AUGCCUUGGAGAAGGAAAUGGCAACCCACUCCAGUAUCCUGCCUGGAGAAUCCCAGGGACAGAGGAGCCUGGUGGGCUGCCGUCUAUGGGGUCACACAGAGUCAGACACGACUGAAGCGACUUAGCAGCAGCAGCAGCAGCAGAGGGAUAGUGAGGGGCAGGGAGACCCGGCGAGCUGCACAGUCCAUGGGGUCGCAAAGAGUCAGAUACGACUUAGCCACUGAACAACAACAAAGGAGUCACAGGCCUCCGGAACCAGGAACACAUGUAAAUUUCAGGGGCUCGCGGUCUUCAUCCUCCUGGUCGUCCUCCCUCCUUCCCCCAUCCCUCCCCCCUCCCCCCCCCCCCCUCCCCCCUCCCCCCCCCUCCCCUCCCUCCCCCUCCCUCCAGGCCUCCCCGCCCCGCCCCGCCCUCCGACCCGGGCCUUCCCGGAGGCUGGAAUCCCGGACUGUCACUGGCCCGCCGGGAUCCCGCCGCGCUUCGUCACCGCGUCCGCUUCCGUCUCGGCCGAAGGCGCCUCCCCGCUCGGCUGGUCCCCGACCGGCUCCCCUGGGUCCCGCAGGGCUGCGGCGCUGCCUGUCCGGUCACCUCCUCCUCCUCGCGGUGUGGACAGCGGUCUUCAGGCGGCCGGAGGAGGGUCUCCCCUGCUGGGGUCUGUCCUGGCCACCCCUGGUGUCAUACAGAGGACUCCAGCUUCUGGAGACGUCCGCGGUGAAGACCACAGACCUGAUCUUGGCGUGGCUGGCGCGUGUGGCCAAGCCCACCUGCCUUGAUCCGGAAAAGCUCUUCUUGGUAGGUUUUGUGAGGCCCCCACCAUAGGUGUAAGCCCACAGUCCGAUCCCCUUACAGGAGGAAACCUUAUCACUCACCAUGACCUUGUCAUGUCAUGGGAGGAACUCUGUUUCAGUGGAAGAACGCCUGCCAGCGGUAGCACACCCUUCUGGGCUGUGUGGUUCCAGCCUGUUCCCUGUAUUUGAGCUGUUCUGCAGUUCUGUGAACACUGGGGGUAGCUGAUAGGUUUGUAAGUUCUGACCUGUCUGGUGAUAAACUAACUGGUUUCCUCCCCUCCUGGGGAAAAAUCGAUUUGGUCUCCACGUACAGUUGAUCUCAAGAUCCCUCUCCUGGGUAGACAUCUGUGCCCUUUCCUUUUCCCCUUAGGCCCAGUUACAGCAUCUGCUCUAUUUCCUGUUAUUACACGAGUAAUACACAAGCCUUAACGUGAAGUCAUUUUGAUAACUCUUGGGGAGUCAUAAUAAUUUUCAUUUGUUUCCUGAAAAUUAUGCUGUAACAAGUGUGUACUUGGGGGUAGGGUGAGGGAAAGGCCCAAAUCCUAAAGUGUCUGUGCAGAAAAUGUAUGUCUAGUACAGUCAGUCGAGUGUCAAGGGCACGUUUCCCAAGGCUCUUGUCGGCAGGGAGACUGUCUGCCCUGCCCGCCGUGGCCUUGGGCUGGGGCACACAGCCUGGGCGGGCUGCUCUGCCCCGGGAAGGCUCUGGCUGGAGUCCAGCCUUCGUGUGUGGCCUGGCCAAGCCUUCCCUGGCCACCAGCCCUUUCUGCGGGAGAAGGACCUUUCGGGAUCAGCCCAGAGAGUGGCUCUUCUGGCUGUAAACAUUCCCUUUGGAAAGUGGAUAGCGGGUUGAAAGUCAAGUAUAAAGAUUCUGAUUCGAGGUUGCUUCUUCUCUGCUGCCUUGCAUCCUCAUUGGAAAGCCCAG